UGCAUGUGAUUGACCUUGCACCAUUCC
rnacentral:piRNA from 1 species